GGUGACCUCUUGGGAAGUCCUCGUGUUGCACCCUUU
rnacentral:rRNA from 1 species